rnacentral:rRNA from 1 species
UGUAAGCGUAUACCAAAGUUGUUGCAGUUAAAACGCUCGUAGUCGGACUUUGGCAGUUCCGGAUGUGUGCACGUCGUGUGCGCACUUCGCGGGGAUUGCUUUUGUGGUCUUGCGUAGGAUGAGGCACUUUUAUUAGUGAACGUCCUCACGCAACCACUUUUUACUGUGAGAAAAUCAGAGUGCUCAAAGCAGGCAUUUGCCGUGAAUGUAUUAGCAUGGAAUAACAGAAUAGGACUUGGUUCUAUUUUGUUGGUUUGUUGGGACUGAGUAAUGAUUAAGAGGGACAGUUGGGGGCAUUUGUAUUUCGGUGCUAGAGGUGAAAUUCUUAGAUUACCGAAAGACAAACUGCUGCGAAAGCGUCUGCCAAGGAUGUUUUCAUUGA